UCUAUUCUCAUUUUUUUUUUUAACUCCAGAUAUUUACAAUUGCAUUUCAUGGCCAAAAGGGCAAACUUACAAAAUGGGUCUAGUUAUAAGAGAAAUUAGAGUCUCAUGUAUCAAACUCUAUAACAAAACAAGCCCAAUACAUGGUAGUCCACCCCCAAUCCAAGAAUCCUAAGCGAACAAAAAUGAGAAUAGAACCAAGACAGCACAGCUCCGUCAUCCAUGUGUCAUAACCAGUUUGAUCACCGAUUUGGAAAUUGGGAAGAGAAACAUUUCUUCGUCCCCAGCCAAAGCUCCGAUUUCCUGAACAGCCAAAGGCUACUCAGAGAAACACAAAAGCGUAAACAACAUCUUAUCUUCAAGGCUCCACCACUCAACAUUGGAAGCACAACUUUAUCUUUCUGGAAAAGUGACGCAGCAGAGCUCUCUGACCUUUCAAUCUCGUAUAGCAUUAAGGGCGAGCUUCCAUUAGAGAAGAAGAAGCAUAAAUCCUCGGAGUUACGAAUAUCCCCCUUUGAUUACCCCUCCCUGCAGAACAUGAACAAAUCACCCUUUACAUGAAGAUCCAAGUUCUGUUAUCAACCAAAUAAAACCAAAACUACACAACCAAUCCGAGGUGGGAGGGAAAGCCACCGACAAGUCGGAUGCACCAUCUUCCCCCAUCCCAAAGACAGGACAAGCCAACCGGAAAACAUGCUCGGCUAACCCGAGAGGAGAUAAUAUAUGACGAAGGGAAUUAAUUUAUC
rnacentral:misc_RNA from 1 species